rnacentral:rRNA from 1 species
AACGAACGCUGGCGGCAUGCCUAACACAUGCAAGUCGAACGAGACCUUCGGGUCUAGUGGCGCACGGGUGCGUAACGCGUGGGAUCCUGCCCUUAGGUUCGGAAUAACUCCCCGAAAGGGGUGCUAAUACCGGAUAAUGUCUUCGGACCAAAGAUUUAUCGCCUUUGGAUGGGCCCGCGUUGGAUUAGCUAGUUGGUAGGGUAAAAGCCUACCAAGGCGACGAUCCAUAGCUGGUCUGAGAGGAUGAUCAGCCACACUGGGACUGAGACACGGCCCAGACUCCUACGGGAGGCAGCAGUGGGGAAUAUUGGACAAUGGGCGAAAGCCUGAUCCAGCAAUGCCGCGUGAGUGAUGAAGGCCUUAGGGUUGUAAAGCUCUUUUACCCGGGAUGAUAAUGACAGUACCGGGAGAAUAAGCUCCGGCGAACUCCGU